CCUGGCAACACCACCACCGACUUUGACGGCUCCACCUCUGUGUCCCAGUGCAAAAACCGGCAGUGCGGGGGGGAGCUGGGUGAGUAAACGGGCUACAUCGAGUCCCCCAACUACCCGGGGAAUUACCCCGCCAACGUCGAGUGUACCUGGAACAUCAACCCACCGCCCAAGCGCAAGAUCCUCAUCGUGGUCCCAGAGAUCUUCCUCCCCUCCGAGGAUGAGUGCGGCGACGUCUUGGUCAUGCGGAAAAACUCCUCCCCGUCCUCCAUCACCACCUACGAGACGUGCCAGACCUACGAGAGGCCCAUCGCCUUCACUGCCCGCUCUCGGAAACUGUGGAUCACCUUCAAAACCAGUGACGGGGCUUCCAGAUCCCCUACGUCACCUACGACGAGGACUACGAGCAGCUGGUGGAGGACAUCGUGCGGGAUGGCAGGCUCUACGCCUCCGAAAAUCACCAGGAGAUCCUCAAGGACAAGAAGCUCAUCAAAGCUUUCUUCGACGUGCUGGCACACCCCCAGAACUACUUCAA